rnacentral:rRNA from 1 species
GAUGAACGCUGGCGGCGUGCCUAAUACAUGCAAGUCGAGCGAACGGACGAGAAGCUUGCUGCUCUGAUGUUAGCGGCGGACGGGGGAGUAACACGUGGAUAACCUACCUAUAAGACUGGGAUAACUUCGGGAAACCGGAGCUAAUACCGGGUAAUAUUUUGAACCGCAUGGUUCAAAAGUGAAAGACGGUCUUGCUGUCACUUAUAGAUGGAUCCGCGCUGCAUUAGCUAGUUGGUAAGGUAACGGCUUACCAAGGCAACGAUGCAUAGCCGACCUGAGAGGGUGAUCGGCCACACUGGAACUGAGGCACGGUCCAGACUCCUACGGGGGGCAGCAGUAGGGAAUCUUCCGCAAUGGGCGAAAGCCUGACGGAGCAACGCCGCGUGAGUGAUGAAGGUCUUCGGAUCGUAAAACUCUGUUAUUAGGGAAGAACAUAUGUGUAAGUAACUGUGCACAUCUUGACGGUACCUAAUCAGAAAGCCACGGCUAACUACGUG